rnacentral:lncRNA from 1 species
GCUGACAAAACCACAGGCCAAUCCCCGCUGGCAGGAUGGGGACAGGCUGACAAUUCCAGGUCCUAACUGCACGGUCUUGCAUUUCCUUCUCUGAAGACUCAGGUGUGGAAUGAGCGGGGCUGUGGGUGCAGCGUGGGCGAGACUCCUCUCAGCCUCCCUGGGCCUGAUCAAGGUCACCGACCCCCAGCUGUAGUCCCCAAGACUGGCUCCUGAUGGCUUUUGUGCCCCGCUCAGCAAAAGCCCAGCUGGGAUCCUCUUGGUGGCCCAGACAGAGGCAGCCUUCCGUGACUUCUGCUGUCAUCCCAGUGGCCUCUGUCUCCAGAGCAGGUGGAGCAAGGAGGCUGUCUACUUGCUCCCUGGACCCAGCGGACAUAUUCCCAGAGACAGCUGGAAAUAUCAUUGUGAUGUCGGACACUGGAGAUGGGACAGGAGCCACACAGACCCAGCUUUGCCCUCCGGAACUCACAGCAUCCCAGCGGCCGGCAGGGAGAGAGAGGGCCAGCAAACAACUCCGCGAGGGGGUCCCGCGAUAACAUGCGAGAAGUGGGUGGAGAACGCCGGGCAAGCCUGGGUAGCCGAGGAGGGACAGACAAGCAGGUGCAUGGGCCGAGACAUGGAGGGUACCUGGGGACACCAUCCUGGGGCAGGAAACGGCAGGUGCAAAGGCCCCGGGGCCGGCUGAGCUGCUGGCUCCCUCGCUCAGGGAGCAUCUGAGCAGCACCUCCCAGAAGCCAGGGCUGUGCUCGUGUGCAUGGGCCAAGCUUCAGAGAGAACUCGGGGGGCUCCCAGGUCUGAGGGGGGUGGGGGCCAGGGCUGGGCAGUGCAGAGGGUGAGGGGAUGUCCUUCCUUACAGAGAUAGAAUUCGAGGGGAAAGAAAAAGGCCCCCUGGCAUCCCUGCCCAGUGCAUGGGAUUGUGGGGGCUGGGAGGCAUCCCGUGGCUGGGCUGCAGGAGUUCCCAGCCAGACCUGGUCCCUUGGGGAAUGGGGGUCUGGGAGGCCUUUGCUGUGAGCCCACCUCGACAACCCACCCGACCAGUGAGCAGAAGCCUGAGCCGGGGUUCAGGGAUCCAUCCGUGGAGUCGCCCCUGAGGGAGGGCUUCCCACGUGGCACCCCACUGAGCCCCUCUCCCAAGCCCUCGCCCCUCCCUCCCAGGUUCUCGAAACCUCCUGCUGUCCCCCCGAGUUAGUGUCCAGGACUGCUUUAACAAAUGGCCACAGACUUGGCUGGAAACAAAAUAUAUUCAUUAUCUUACAGUUUGGGAGGCCAGAAGUCGAGAUCAAGGUGCCCACAGGGCUGGUUCCUCCCGAGGCCAGGAAGGGUCUCCUCUGUCCGCUCUGUCCCCAGCAGUGUCUGGCGGCUGCCCGCAAGACUUGGGUGGCUUAGGGAGACCUCACCCCAACUCUGCCUCUUUCUUCACACGGCCUUCUCUCUGAGCCUGUGUGCCCUCUCAACUCAAGAUCCUUAACUUAAUUACUUCUACAAAGAGCCCUUCUCCAGGCUGGGUGUGGUGGCUCAUGCUUGUAAUCUCAGCACUUUGGGAGGCUGAGGCAGGUGGAUCACUUGAGGUCAGGAGUUCAAGACCAGCCUGGCCAACACGGUGAAACCCCGGCACUACUAAAAAUACAAAAAUUAGCUGGGAAUGGUGCCGCAUGCCUGUAGUCCCAGCUACUUGGGAGGCUGAGGCGGGAGAAUUGUUUGAACCCAGGAGGCGGAGGUUGCAGUGAGCUGAGAUUGAGCCACUGCACCCCAGCCUGGGUGACAAGAGUGAGACUCCAUCUCAAAACAAAACAAAAAAACAAAAACAAAGAGCCCUUCUCCAAACAACGUCCCCUUCAUGGGUUCUGCGGGUUAGAACUUGGACACAUCAUUUUGGGGGUCCUCUAUUCAACCCACAACACCCCAAAAUACCAGGAAUCUGGGAAGUUGGGUCUUCUUUCACUGCUGAGCCAGGUCCCCUGCACUUCAUCCAGGUGGGCUCGGGAGCCAUGGCGGCCUCCCUUGGCAUGUGUAAGUUGGGGGACAGCGAGGAGGGCUGGGAAGUAUAAGUUGGGGGGCUGAGGCCUGAUGGUGCAGGCAGGCCUCUCAAGGAGAGGCCAGCACCGUGCCUGCCCACUAGGAACACGGCCUGUGGUCCCCGCCCCUGUGUGAAAAGAAUGGAGAGAAAACGCCUGGCCCCUGUGCCCCCUGCCCAGCUCUAGGGACUGCAGGCACCUGCCUGGCACAAGAAACAGGGGGUGCACACAGACACAAAGAUGGGUCCUAAGCCCCAGGCCUGCCAUAGACCCCACGUCAGGCCCAGAGGGGCGCACAUAGACACAGAGAUGGGCCCUUAGCCCCAGGCCCGCCAUAGACCUCAUGCCAGGCCCACUCACGGGCAGGAUGUUUCUCCCCCAGCCCUCAGGUCCGGGCAUGAGCUCCGGGCCAGCGGCCACCAGGCCCUGGGCCAGCGAGUCCCGGCUUCCAGCACUUGCUCCACCAGCCGGAAGGUGCUUUCCACCCCAUAAUCACCUGUGCCAAGCGCAGGCUCAGUUGAUCUUCCAAAGCGCCAUUUACACCAUGUGGAAACCAAGGCUCGGUGCUCCCCCAGCCCGGAGGUGGUAGGGUCAAGAUUUGAAGCCAGGUCUCCGAGCGUCCACCUGCUGAUGCCUUCCUCGACCUUGACAUGCGGCCAGGCGGCAGCAGAGCUGGGAACACUCCUGCAUCACCCAUGAGCCCUGCCGGGGGUCUCAGUGUCCCCGUCUGCGAAAUGGGAUAAGGGCUCUGCACACCAGCCUUGCUCCCAGGGGCCAGAGAGGGGAGGGACAGUGUCCCUAGUGACAGAUCCAGAAACUGAGGCCAGGAGGCGCUGGCCUGGACGCCCCUGCCCAGCAGAUGCGGGUUGGGGCAGGCCCAGGCCCCAGCUGGCCCACCACCUGCUGACCCGCUUCCUCCCAGGGCCUCUGCGGGGAGGCGGUGGGAACUGACCUCCUCUCUGCCUCUCAGCCCCAAGGCGGCCACCCCCUGGGAGGCCUGGUCCGGGGCUCAGGUGUCCCGCACAGCCGGUUCCUCCGCC